GAUGAAGAACGUAGCGAAAUGCGAUAAGUAAUGUGAAUUGCAGAAUUCAGUGAAUCAUCUAAUCUUUGAACGCACAUUGCGCCCGUCAGUAUUCUGGCGGGCAUGCCUGUUCGAGCGUCAUUACGCCCCUCAAGUCCCCUGUGGACUUGGUGUUGGGGAUCGGCGAGGCUGGUUUUCCAGCACAGCCGUCCCUUAAAUUAAUUGGCGGUCUCGCCGUGGCCCUCCUCUGCGCAGUAGUAAAACACUCGCAACAGGAGCCCGGCGCGGUCCACUGCCGUAAAACCCCCCAACUUUUUAUAGUUGACCUCGAAUCAGGUAGGACUACCCGCUGAACUUAAGCAUAUCAAUAAGCGGAGGA
rnacentral:misc_RNA from 1 species